UGCACGGUAGCGCAGUUGGUAGCACUGCUUCCUUGCAGCAAAAAGCUCCUGGGUUCAAAUCCCAGUCAGGGGUCUUUCUGCAU